AGUGAACGCUGGCGGUAUGCCUAACGCAUGCAAGUCGAACGGCAGCACAGUAAGAGCUUGCUCUUACGGGUGGCGAGUGGCGGACGGGUGAGGAAUACAUCGGAAUCUACUUUUUCGUGGGUGAUAACGUAGGGAAACUUACGCUAAUACCGCAUACUACCUACGGGUGAAAGCAGGGGAUCUUCGGACCUUGCGCGAUUGAAUGAGCCGAUGUCGGAUUAGCUAGUUGGCGGGGUAAAGGCCCACCAAGGCGACGAUCCGUAGCUGGUCUGAGAGGAUGAUCAGCCACACUGGAACUGAGGCACGGUCCAGACUCCUACGGGAGGCAGCAGUGGGGAAUAUUGGACAAUGGGCGCAAGCCUGAUCCAGCCAUACCGCGUGGGUGAAGAAGGCCUUCGGGUUGUAAAGCCCUUUUGUUGGGAAAGAAAAGCAGCAGGUUAAUACCCCGCUGUUCUGACGGUACCCAAAGAAUAAGCACCGGCUAACUUCGUG
rnacentral:rRNA from 1 species